rnacentral:rRNA from 1 species
UUGGAGGGCAAGUCUGGUGCCAGCAGCCGCGGUAAUUCCAGCUCCAAUAGCGUACAUUAAAGUUGUUGCAGUUAAAAAGCUCGUAGUUGAAUUUCGGGAUCAGUACGUUGGUCGUGCCUUAGGUACGUACUGGUGUUACUGGUUCCUACCUUCUGACGAACCAUCAUGUCAUUCAUUUGGUGUGGCGGGGAAUCAGGACUGUUACUUUGAAAAAAUUAGAGUGUUUAAAGCAGGCUCGCGCUUGAAUACAUUAGCAUGGAAUAAUGAAAUAGGACGUUGAUCCUAUUUUGUUGGUUUCUAGGAUUGACGUAAUGAUUAAUAGGGAUAGUUGGGGGCAUUAGUAUUCAAUUGUCAGAGGUGAAAUUCUUGGAUUUAUUGAAGACUAACUACUGCGAAAGCAUUUGCCAAGGAUGUUUUCAUUAAUCAAGAACGAAAGUUAGGGGAUCGAAGACGAUCAGAUACCGUCGUAGUCUUAACCAUAAACUAUGCCGACUAGGGAUCGGAUGAUGUUAAUUUUUUAAUGACUCAUUCGGCGCCUUACGGGAAAC